rnacentral:rRNA from 1 species
UACGCUGGCGGCACGCCUAACACAUGCAAGUCGAACGCAGUAGCAAUACUGAGUGGCAAACGGGUGAGUAUAAUGUGGGAAUCUGCCUUUUGGUUUGGAAUAACACGGGGAAACUUGUGCUAAUACCGAAUAAGCCCUUACGGGGAAAGUUUUAACGCCGAAAGAUGAGCCCGCACUUGAUUAGCUAGUUGGUAAGGUAAAAGCUUACCAAGGCAACGAUCAAUAGCUGUUCUUAGAGGAAGACCAGCCACAUUGGGACUGAGACACGGCCCAGACUCCUACGGGAGGCAGCAGUGGGGAAUCUUGCACAAUGGGGGAAACCCUGAUGCAGCGAUGCCGCGUGAGUGAAGAAGGCCCUUGGGUUGUAAAACUCUUUCGUCGGGGAAGAAAAUGACUGUACCCGAAUAAGAAGGUCCGGCUAACU